ACACAGGUGCUGCAUGGCUGUCGUCAGCUCGUGUCGUGAGAUGUUGGGUUAAGUCCCGUAACGAGCGCAACCCUUGCCUUUAGUUGCCAGCAGUUCGGCUGGGCACUCUAAAGGGACUGCCGGGUGUUAAACCGGAGGAAGGUGGGGAUGACGUCAAGUCCUCAUGGCCUUUAUGACCAGGGCUACACACGUACUACAAUGGCCGAUACAAAGGGCAGCGACACUGCGAGGUGAAGCCAAUCCCGUAAAAUCGGUCUCAGUCCGGAUUGGAGUCUGCAACUCGACUCCAUGAAGUUGGAAUCGCUAGUAAUCGUGGAUCAGCAUGCCACGGUGAAUACGUUCCCGGGCCUU
rnacentral:rRNA from 1 species